UCCAGUCAGAGCCUGGGCAGGGCUCCCCGCCCCAUCCUGCCUGCAGGACACGAUCUGCCGAGAGAGGUACCGAGCCCCAGCGCUGCCGGGCCCGCCUGGGCGGCACAGCCGUUCUCUAGGGCUGUACACACCACGGCACCGCACGCUCCGUGCGCUGAUGAUGUGGCACGCCAGCUCCGAGCCGCCCGCAGGGCGGAGGGCCUGGUGUGCAAUUCAAAAGCAACAGGGUGCUGUGGGAAAGAACACUGAGCCUGCAAACACCGAGUCCUCCUUACUGAGGCUGAAGCUAUUCCUGAAGAAGAAACAGAGCUGGAAGCAUGAACUGCACACACUGAAUUUCUCCUUUCCUCCCUGGCACACCUGACAAGCCUCACAGCUUUGCAGAAAACCAUCCCAUGUCCCCAAACCAGCAGUCCAGGCUGAACCCCUGGCUGCAGAGACUCCCCAGUGUCCCAGGCUGUUUGCAUCCCCUCCUGGAGCUGUCUCAGAGCACUGCAGCACCAGAGCUGAUGUUUACUCCACACCUUCUCUUUGCCUGAUGUUCCAGACACACCCAGAGAUGCCCAAGGCUGUCCCUGACCUCACAGGGAAAGACAAAUUUCCAAUGUGCCUGACAGAGCUGUGGAAGGACCGAAGGUGAGGAGGGGCCCAGAGCAGUUUCCAGGUUUCUCCAUUCCUUGACAGGCUCCUUGCUCCACCAAACACCCACAAGACACCAACCCCUGCCUCCCAAAGCUAAAAACCUCCUUCUGCAGGUCAGGCAGUUCCAGCAGGGUCACAGCCUCUGAGGCUCCCCUGGCCCCAUUAAACUGUGCUGCUGACAGGCCCUGAGCCCCCAGAUCUGUCCCUGUCUAUUCCUUUGUUUCUCCUCUCACCUUCCUCCCAACAUUCAACUUUAUAUUGUAAAUCUUCUUUAAUUAAAUUGUGCAUUUCUCUUA